rnacentral:lncRNA from 10 species
CUCAUCUGACACUGUGGCCUGUGCACGACUCCAAGCACUGGGGAAGCCUUCGACAUCAGAAUAUGAAUGGCACCUGUUCUUCCGGGGGCGGCAAGGGGGAUCCCGAUGUUUAUCAAAAUGGGUUGAUUUUCCACGGAGGGGGUACUUCUGGAGAGAGAAAAGUCAACUAUCAAAAUAUCCAUGGCUUUGACAUAAUAGAUGAAGGGGAAAAGCUGCUGUUUUCACUACAGAAAUGAGAACUCUUCAUCAAUUUCAGCAAAUAAUCCU